rnacentral:lncRNA from 1 species
AAGUGUGCCCUUGUGUUUGGUGCAUGGAUGUUAAGAGUUGCAGUGUCAAGCCAAGCACUUGGGAGGCAGAGGCAGGCAGAUCUCUGAAUUUGUGAACAGAAUGGUCUACAGAGCAGCUUCCAAGAUGGCCAGUGCUACACAGAGAAACGCUAUCACCAUCACCCCCCAAAAGAAAGUAAGGUGGAAGACUGGAAAGAUGGCUCUGUUGUUAAGGAUACCUCCAGAGGACCUAGGUUUGAAUCCCAGCAGCCACAUGGUGACUAACAAAUGAAGCCUGUAACUUCCUUCAUUUCAGGGCAUCCAACACCUCUUGGCUGCCAUGAGCGCCAAGCAUGCAUCUGAUGCAUGUGCAUACACGAUGGCAAGAUGUCCGUGAACAGAAAUAAAAAUAUUUUUGGAGAAUGAGACCUCUUUAUAUGUAUGCAUGCUAUUGCACACAGGUGCAUACACUUACCUAACACAUAUUCCACAUACAAGAUAAUAAUGCAAAAGACUUUAAAAGGCAUUUGGGAUCAGAAAAUGCCAAACAUCAUUGCAGUUUUUAAGUGUUUCAAGCAUUAGUUUUAAGACUACCUAAGAUGAUUGUCACUUUUUUAGUUUAGAGGGGAGGGGUUUCAUUUAUUUUUGCGAUGCUGAGUCUUGUACCCAGGGCUUCAAGCAUGCUAGCCAAGUGCUCUACCACUAAUCUGUGUUCCAAGAUCUUUUACCUUUUAGUUUAGGCUUAGGUUUUUUUGUUUGGUUAGUUGUUUUUAUUUUUAAUUAUAAUUUUAUGUGUGUAUGUUUUGUCUGCAUGUGUGUUUGUAUGCAAUGUGCAUGUUUGGUGUGUGCAAAAGUCAUCAGAGGUGCCAGAGCUCCAGGGACUGAAGUUAUGGGUAGUGGUGAGCCGCCAUGGAAACCAAACCUGGAUCUUCUGCAAGAACAGGUGCUCUCAACUGAUGAGCUGGGUGUCUGCAGCUCGCUCUAAUAUAUAUAUAUAUAUAUAUAUAUCUCCACAGUCCAGUAGUCCAGGCUAUUCUUAACCUUAUAGCAGUUCAGUGUCUGUCUCAUUUUCUAUUUUUUGAUAUUAUUCUAGAUAUUAAAACUAAAAAAACAAAUGUUUAUAAGUAAAUGUACCAUAUUAGGUGGAAAUGAAGAUGAAUGUAAGGUGUGUGAAAUGGCCACAACUGAAUAAAUGCCUUAGAAGUCAUCAGGAGGCUCCAGUGGGGUCUGCAGUGCUCCAGAGCACAGCUGCAGAGCACAGUAAGGCCCUUAGUGGGGUCUAUGUUUGUGUUCCACAGCCCUCUAUUAUACUAGUUUGGUUUACUUAACCUGUGUGAUGUUUUGCAGGGGUGAAGUUAGCACUACCUGGUAAUCUUCCCCCAACCCCCAUUCUAGUCGCAGACGCCCUUCCUUUCUAUAAACAGGUUGAGUGUAUGCAGGCCUUUGCAAUAGCUAGCUUGGGCUUUAUUUCUUUUAGUCAGACUUCUGUAUUUGCUAACACAAGAGUAAGCCAAGAGAUGUACAUCUUUGCUGAUUCUUUAAUUGGAGGUUUCUGUUUGGGUGUUAAGACCAUGAGAAAUAGGAAUAUGUUUGGAUUUUGUGUGUGUGUGUGUGUGUGUGUGUGUGUGUGUGUGUGUGUGUGUGUGUGUGUGUAUGUGUGUUUUAAAGAUAGAGUGGACUAAUGAAAUAUGAACAAGGAGUGGAUGAGUGAGCGAAUGAAUGAAAACAAAGCAAGCAAGCCUGGCGCGCUAGCACAGGCCUGAAGUCCCAGCACCGGGCAAGCUAUGGCAGAAGCAUGAAGAGGUUCAGGCCAGCCAGAGAUGUAAAGUGAGAUUCUGUCUCAGAAGGG